AUAAUUCAUUAACAGGUUUGGGAUCAAUUCAUCGACAGUUGAUGUCAAGGCAGAUUCUACUCAUAGAAAUUGUAAACGUUGAUGCAUGAAGCUUAAAAUUGCUAUGCUAGCUGCAGAUAACAAUAGCCUGACUAGAACUUCUAAUUUAUUCUACUAGAAGCCUCAAGGCUUUAACUCUAUGUUCAGCCAACAUGGGUAGGACCAACAAAUCUAGGUAUGGUUAUCUGCAGCUAGCAUAGCAAUUUUAAGCUUCA
rnacentral:misc_RNA from 1 species